CCUACGGGAUGCUGCAGUGAGGAAUAUUUGUCAAUGGGCGCGAGCCUGAACCAGCCAAGUAGCGUGAAGGAUGACUGCCCUACGGGUUGUAAACCUCUUUUAUAAAGGAGUAAAGUGAGGAGCUAGUGCCUUUUUGUAUAUACUUUACUAACAAGGUUCGGCUAACUCCGUUCCAGCAGCCGCGGUAAUACGGAGGAUGCGAGCGUUGUCCGGAUUUAUUGGGUUGAAAGGGAGCGUAGAUGGGUUGUUAAGUCAGUUGUGAAAGGGUGCGGCUCAACCGGAAAAUUGCAAUUGAUACUGGCAGUCUUGAGUACAGUUGAGGUAGGCGGAAUUCGUGGUGUAGCGGUGAAAUGCUUAGAUAUCACGAAGAACACCGAUGGCGAAGGCAGCUUACUAAACUGCCACUGACAUUGAUGCUCGAAAGUGUGGGUAUCAAACAGGAUUAGAUACCCGGGUAGUC
rnacentral:rRNA from 1 species